rnacentral:rRNA from 1 species
GACGAACGCUGGCGGCGUGCCUAAUACAUGCAAGUAGAACGCAGUUGCGAACGGGCGAGUAACGCGUAGGUAACUGCCUCAUAGCGGGGGAUAACUAUUGGAAACGAUAGCUAAUACCGAACACUGUGAGAUGGAUCUGCGUUGUAUUAGCUAGUUGGUGAGGUAGAGGCUCACGAAGGCGACGAUACAUAGCCGACCUGAGAGGGUGAGCAGCCGCACUGACACUGGGACGCGGACCAGACUCCAACGGAAAGCAGCGGUAGGAAUUCUGCAGCGAUGGACAGGAGUCUGACCAAGAAACACCGCGGGAGUGAGGAGGAUUUUCGGAUCAUAGGGCUCUAUUGUUAGAGAUACGGUAUCAAACCAGAAAGGGACGGCUAACUACGUGCCAGCAGCCGCGGUAAUAC